CCUGAAGGGCACCAAAAUUACCUCUUAUCAGGCAAAACAAUUCUACAUCACACACUUGAGGUACACGUGCAUAGUCUUACCAAUGGUAGUCAGUAGAACAUGCAGUAAACACUUUCUUCAGGGCCUUACGGCAAAAAGUUACAAUAUAGGGUCAGAUUCUAAAAAAUCAAACUCUCCAGUACAAGUAUGAUAGGACACAUGGGACACAAUUUAUCGCCAAGAGGCACAAAACAUCACAUGUGAGGAAAACACAAAGCAAGCAAAAGGUACUAUCCCAUGGCACUCAUGGUAUAAUACUAAACAACCAAAGGGAAGGAAAGACAAAUAAAAACAGUGCCAAGUCACCGUUUCACCAGCUCCAAUUAUAAAAUAGGUACCAAACUAGUAAAUAGCACCUUCUCACGUAUGUGUUACAUAAGACCAAUGAGAAUAGUUUCUUUCAGGCCUCAGUAAGCUGUUCCACUUACUGACCGGUGGCUUCCUUAAAGGGAAGCAGCCCUCAGUCAAGGAAAGCACCAGGAGUCAGGUUUUGCGACUAAGUCAAAGGGAACACUUGAGCAACUCACUUUAUCUUUCCCAGCCAGUUUUCUCACCUGUAAAUGGGAGAUAACCAUGCCCCACUUGCCUCAUUAUAAUGAUAAAGCUUAAAGAGAUCAGGUAUGUGAAAGGCCUUUGUAAUCUAUAAAGCAUUAGGCAAAUAUCGAAGUGUUUAUCUCCUAAUCUUACCUGUGAAUUUACAAAUUCUCUAAGGAGGAAAAUCAACUUCAUUAAAGAUUGGUUUCUUUUCUCUCCCAUAUUCCCAACCCCUCUUUAAACCCACUCUCAGCAUCAACAGCAGACCGGCAAUUGCGCUUUUGAUCUAAAGGAAAGAUGAAAGCCUGGAUCCUGCAAUACACUGAGAUUAUAGAAAACUGCAAAGCAAACCAAAUCCAGGUUGCUCUAACUUAAAUUCCGCAAUGCUAGUCAGGCAGAUUGCUCCAACCUGAGAGCUGUGAGUUCAGGUGGGGAGGUUCACAUUCACUGUGAUUAACUAGCUAGCUCCUUUCUCUGUCACAAUUACCUGGAAUACCCAAGGCAGACUAUGACAAGGGUCAGGUGACACACGUUAAUAUCCACUUGCUGGCAACAUGUGCCUGCACUGACUCCAGGAACCGUCUGUUGAAUGAACGCUAAAUCCCAGAGCUUCCCAGUGUGCCUCAGCGUGAGCAAGAGGAAAAACGUGAGAAAGACUCAUUGAACAAACACUAAGUGUCAUUUCUACAUGCUGGACACAAAACCAGGCCCUCAGGAUACAACUGUGAGCAAGAUAUAAUCCCUGACCUCGAGAUACAUACGGCUUCAAAAAAAAAAAAGAUAAGUAAGCAGACUGUUAUAAUACUGUGAUAAAAGGAUGGGCUGGAGCUAUGUGCUGAAUGCUCUGGUAGCUCAAAGAGCUCCCAAAUACGAACAGUUGAGGAACGUCACCUGCAAUUCAGUGUGGCGUGUGUCAAGCGCGAGGUGCCUAUCAUGAAUCCAAGCAGAGAUAUUCCCUUGACAGAGGGACACAGAAGUCUUUCGAUAGAGACUUGAGAGUAACUAUCGUAUAAUGAUAAUUAAAGUCACAGCAGCAAAUCAGAACACGUAGGAUGAGUGUGUAGGCAAAGAGGGCCAAGGGCAGAACCCUGAGAAAGAUUAACAUCUUGGGGAUGAGCAAAGGAGAAGCCAGA